CUCUGGGCAGGUCAGCCUCACACUCCCGGCCCCCGACUCGCUGGCCUCCUGGGUCCGCCAGUCCGGGAAGGAGCCUGUCGGAUCAGGGGACCCAUCUCACACCCCGGCCUGAGGGACCCCACCCCAGACUCCGGACUCCUGGGACUGCCAGCCCAGGAAGGAGCGUGUCAGACCCAUCAGAAAAUAGAAGUCACAAAGGAAACCAAACCCCAAAAUUUGGAAAGACCGGCAAAUACUGAAAAUCAUGGCGGGAAGCCAGCUGCCAUGUUGUGAGCUGUCCAUGUGGAAAGAAUUGAUAUGUCCAGACAAAAGCCAGCAAGGACCCCAACCCAGCCAACAGUUUAAGUGAGUGCGUCUGCAAGAUGAUUAUCCUCCCAUGAAGCCUUCAGGUGAAUGUCGCACUGGCUAACAACCUGCCUGCAGCCUUGUGGGAAUUGAGGCACCCAGCUAAGCCACACCUGGACUCCUUACCCAAAGACUCUUUUGUUCCAAGCGGACCACUCAUCCAUGUUCUCUACACUAAGACUGUUCUCGGAUAGUAAAGCUGAAUUUCCUCACCAAUAAAGUCGCAUCACCUCACA